GACGAACGCUGGCGGCGUGCUUAACACAUGCAAGUCGAACGGAAAGGCCCUGCUUUUGUGGGGUGCUCGAGUGGCGAACGGGUGAGUAACACGUGAGUAACCUGCCCUUGACUUUGGGAUAACUUCAGGAAACUGGGGCUAAUACCGGAUAGGAGCUCCUGCUGCUUGGUGGGGGUUGGAAAGUUUCGGCGGUUGGGGAUGGACUCGCGGCUUAUCAGCUUGUUGGUGGGGUAGUGGCUUACCAAGGCUUUGACGGGUAGCCGGCCUGAGAGGGUGACCGGCCACAUUAGGACUGAGAUACGGCCCAGACUCCUACGGGAGGCAGCAGUGGGGAAUAUUGCACAAUGGGCGGAAGCCUGAUGCAGCAACGCCGCGUGCGGGAUGACGGCCUUCGGGUUGUAAACCGCUUUCGCCUGUGACGAAGCGUGAGUGACGGUAAUGGGUAAAGAAGCACCGGCUAACUACGUG
rnacentral:rRNA from 1 species